GGUUUAACCUUCGGGGGGACGCUUACCACUUUGUGGUUCAUGACUGGGGUGAAGUCGUAACAAGGUAGCGCUAGGGGAACCUGGCGCUGGAUCACCUCCUUAAACGAUGAU
rnacentral:rRNA from 1 species